CAGUCGCCGCGGUAAUGCGUAGGUCCCGAGCGUUGUCCGGAUUUAUUGGGCGUAAAGCGAGCGCAGGCGGUUAGAUAAGUCUGAGGUUAAAGGCUGUGGCUUAACCAUAGUACGCUUUGGAAACUGUUUAACUUGAGUGCAAGAGGGGAGAGUGGAAUUCCAUGUGUAGCGGUGAAAUGCGUAGAUAUAUGGAGGAACACCGGUGGCGAAGGCGACUCUCUGGUCUGUAACUGACGCUGAGGAGCGAAAGCGUGGGGAGCGAACAGGAUUAGAUACCCCAGUAGUCCCUGUCUCUUAUACC
rnacentral:rRNA from 1 species